rnacentral:tRNA from 1 species
GCAUUGAUGGCCCAGUGGUACAGCUCCCACCUGCCACGCCGGUGGCGUGGGUUCGUGUCCUGGCCAAUGCC